rnacentral:lncRNA from 1 species
CUCAGGGCUGCUGAUGCCCUGAGCCGAAAGGUCCUUUCAUCUUCUAGGUUUUACAAAUGUCACCUCACACAGGGGGCAUGCUUGUCGUCCUUAACAAGGACAAUCAAGUCAGAGUGUCCAGAGAGAGUCUGCAGCCAUUCAGGGAUAAAGAAGCCAGCAGAUCCGUCUUCAGAGGCAUGACCCAGAAUUAUUUGGCGUGAAUUCACCAAGGACGGCCAUGAACCCCCGAUCCUCCUGCUUCCUCCUCUCAACUGUUGGUAUUACAGGAUAUGCCUGUCCUGGGGAAGAGAUUUCACAAAGUGAACUGCGGGCAGAGAUGGAAAAGAAGCAUUCAUUCUUCGCCAGAGUACAAGGAAAGACGAUCCCUGAGAGCAGGAGGGGCCUAGAUCCUGUCAUUAUAGAAGCUGCGAGCUCAAAUCACUCCAUGUAAACAUUCAAGUAAAGAUGAAAGUAGGGGUCUGCAGGAUGUGAGGAGCAUUGGGUGUCAGGCAUAGAAGGAGCUAUUAGAGGGGAGACGUUAAGUGUGGUGGUGGGGGAGGAGGAGGAGGAGACCAGAGCUAGCUCCCUACCACUGUGGGGUACAAAGCUGCUCUCUGUAACUUAAGAAGCCCUUAUCUGAACCCAACCUCCACAAACUUGAGACAUGUCGAAGCUGCCACGUCUACAUUCUUUAUUAUAACAUCUUGCUAUGGCGUGGCUCUUAAGAAUUCCUAAAGCUCCUUAAGUUUGAGGCUCACACCCCAAGGUGGCACUAGUGGGAGAUACUAAGAGGCCUUUGCUGAUG